rnacentral:rRNA from 1 species
AUUGAACGCUGGCGGCAGGCCUAACACAUGCAAGUCGAACGAGUGGCGGAAGGGUGAGUAAGGGCUGGGAAAAUGCCCGAUGGAGGGGGAUAAAUACUGGACACGGUAGCUAAUACCGCAUACCAGCGGAUGGGCCCAGAUGGGAUUAGGUAGUAGGUGGGGUAACGGCUCACCUCGGAGACGAUCCCUAGCUGGUCUGAGAGGAUGACCAGCCACACUGGAACUGGGACACGGUCCAGACGCCUACGGGAGGCAGCAGUGGGGAAUAUUGCACAAUGGGCGCAAGCCUUAUGCAGCCAUGCCGCGUGUAUGAAGAGGGCCUUCGGGUUGGAAAGUACUUUCAGCGAGGAGGCGUUACUCGCAGAAGAAGCACCUGCUAACUCCGUGCCAGCAGCCGCGGUAAUAC